UAUUUCUCUCCUGGGUUGUCUACUCU
rnacentral:piRNA from 1 species